rnacentral:rRNA from 1 species
GAUGAACGCUGGCGGCGUGCCUAAUACAUGCAAGUCGAGCGAACGGACGAUAUUCUUGCUUCUCUCAUGUUACCGUCGGACGUGUGAUUAACACGUGCAUAACCUACCUUUAAGACUUGGAUAACUUCGUGAAACCUUAUCUCAUACCCGAUAAUAUUUUGAACCCCAUGGUUCAAAAGUUCUCGACGUUCUUGCUGUCACUUUUAGAUGUUUCCUCGCUGCAUUAGCUAUUUGGUAAGGUAACGGCUUACCAAGGCAACGAUGCAUAGCCGACAUGAGAGGGUGAUCGGACACACUGGAACUGAGACACGGAACAGACGCCUACGGGAGGCAGCAGUAGGGAAUGUUGGGCAAUGGGGGAAAGCAUGACGGAGCAAAGCCGCGUGAGUGAAGAAGGUCUUCGGAUCGUAAAAAGCUGUUAUGAGGGAAGAAAAUAUGUGUAAGAAAAUGUGGAGAGAAUGACGGUACCUAAAGAGAAAGCAACGGCUAACUACGUG